AGGUCCUGCCUGCCCAGUGACUAUGUUAAACGGCCGCGGUAUUUUGACCGUGCAAAGGUAGCGCAAUCACUUGUCUUUUAAAUGAAGACCUGUAUGAAUGGUGGAACGAGGGCCUAACUGUCUCCCCUUUCAAGUCAAUGAAAUUGAUCUAUCCGUGCAGAAGCGGGUAUAUAACUACAAGACGAGAAGACCCUUUGGAGCUUAAGAUUAAAAAUCAACUAUGUCAAAUAUUUAUUAAAUAGAACUAAAUAGUAACUGAUUAUAAUCUUCGGUUGGGGCGACCACGGAAUAAAAAUAAACUUCCACACGGACUGAGGACUAACCUUAAAACCAAGAAAGACAUUUCUAAGUCACAGAAUUUCUGACCACACAGAUCCGGCAAAUUGCCGAUCAAUGGACCAAGUUACCCUAGGGAUAACAGCGCAAUCCCCUUUCAGAGUUCCUAUCGACAAGGGGGUUUACGACCUCGAUGUUGGAUCAGGAC
rnacentral:rRNA from 1 species